GAGGAUUUAGCUCAGUGGCGUUAGCGCCUGCCUGGAAAGCAUGAGGUUGAAAGUUCAAUCCCCA
rnacentral:tRNA from 1 species